GGUGCAAACGUUGUUCGGAAUUACUGGGCGUAAAGCGCGUGUAGGCGGUUUGGUAAGUCGGAUGUGAAAGCCCUGGGCUCAACCCAGGAAGUGCAUUCGAUACUGUCAAGCUAGAGUAUCGGAGAGGUUGGUGGAAUUCUCGGUGUAGAGGUGAAAUUCGUAGAUAUCGAGAGGAACACCCGUGGCGAAAGCGGCUCUCUGGGACGGUACUGACGCUGAGACGCGAAAGCGUGGGGAGCGAACAGG
rnacentral:rRNA from 1 species